GAUGAAGAACGCAGCGAAAUGCGAUAAGUAAUGUGAAUUGCAGAAUUCAGUGAAUCAUCGAAUCUUUGAACGCACAUUGCGCCCGCCAGUAUUCUGGUGGGCAUGCCUGUUCGAGCGUCAUUUCAACCAUCAAGCCCCCGGCUUGUGUUGGGGACCUGCGGCUGCCGCAGGCCCUGAAAACCAGUGGCGGGCUCGCUGUCACACCGAGCGUAGUAGAUUUUCAUCUCGCUCAGGGCGUGCUGCGGGUUCCGGCCGUAAAAAGCCUUAUUUACCCAAGGUUGACCUCGGAUCAGGUAGGAAGACCCGCUGAACUUAAGCAUAUCAAUAAGCGGAGGA
rnacentral:misc_RNA from 1 species